rnacentral:rRNA from 1 species
AUUGAACGCUGGCGGAAUGCUUUACACAUGCAAGUCGAACGGCAGCACGGGUGCUUGCACCUGGUGGCGAGUGGCGAACGGGUGAGUAAUACAUCGGAACGUACCCAGUCGUGGGGGAUAACGUAGCGAAAGUUACGCUAAUACCGCAUACGUCCUGAGGGAGAAAGCGGGGGACCGUAAGGCCUCGCGCGAUUGGAGCGGCCGAUGGCGGAUUAGCUAGUUGGUGGGGUAAAGGCCUGCCAAGGCGACGAUCCGUAGCGGGUCUGAGAGGACGGCCCGCCACACUGGAACUGAGACACGGUCCAGACUCCUAUGGGAGGCAGCAGUGGGGAAUUUUGGACAAUGGGCGAAAGCCUGAUCCAGCCAUUCCGCGUAAGUGAAGAAGGCCUUCGGGUUGUAAAGCUCUUUCGGCAGGGAAGAAACGGCUUGGGAUAAUACCCCGGGCUAAUGACGGUACCUGAAGAAGAAGCACCGGCUAACUACGUGCCAGCCGCCGCCGUAA